AGCGAACGCUGGCGGCAGGCUUAACACAUGCAAGUCGAGCGCCCCGCAAGGGGAGCGGCAGACUGGUGAGUAACACGUGGGAACGUACCCUUUGGUUCGGAACAACCCAGGGAAACUUGGGCCAAUACCGGAUAAGUCCGCGUGGAGAAAGAUUUAUCGCCGAAGGAUCGGCCCGCGUCAGAUUUGCUAGUUGGUGUGGUAACGGCGCACCAAGGCGACGAUCAGUAGCUGGUCUGAGAAGAUGAUCAGCCACGCUGGGACUGAGACACGGCCCAGACUGCUAGGGGAGGGAGCAGAGGAGAGUAUAAGGGGAUGGAGGCUAAUCUAAUAAAGCCAUGCCGGGUAAGUGAUGAAGGCGGUAGGGUUGUGAAGCCCUUUGGGUGGAGAAGAUAGUGACGGUACCGAGAGAAGAAGCCCCGGCUAACUACGUG
rnacentral:rRNA from 1 species